rnacentral:misc_RNA from 1 species
UUUCCGUUGGUGAACCAGCGGAAGGAUCAUUACAGAGAUUGUGCCCUUCGGGGUAGACCUCCCACCCUGUGUUAUUUACGUAUGUUGCUUUGGCGGGCCGCCUCCGGGCUCUCGGCUUCGGCCGAGGUGUGCCCGCCAGAGAACCCACAACCCUGUGUUUAGUGUCGUCUGAGUAUUAUCAAAUAAGUUAAAACUUUCAACAACGGAUCUCUUGGUUCUG